CUAAAAUAUUUUACAACUUAUGAACGUAAUUUUAAUAACUAAUAAAAUUUAUGUUUUGUAUAACAAGUACUUAUAGUUAUUAUUAGUAUGAUUUGUAGAGUGAUCCUAUAUCCAGUGAAGUCAAUGAUAAUGAGCCAAUACAAAGUGAUCCUAUAUCUAGUGAAGUCAAUAACAAUGAGUCAAAACAAGACGAGUAUCCCAUAUCAACUUAUUUUUCGAACCUCAUAUUAGAUCAUAUAUGAGAAAUUGUUCGUGGUAACUAUUUAUGAAUUUUAUAAUUAUGUAGAGAAUUCCAAGAAAUAUAAUGAAGAUUUACGAAAAGUAUUGCUUAGGUUAAUAAAGGAUAUAAUUAUUGCAGAGGAUAAAACGACGAAAAUAAAUGGAUAUAUUAGUUAUAUAUACGUCAAGAUAUACAAUAAAACAUAGCAGAUUAAAAGAAAAAAUUAAAUAAGGAUGAUAUAAACAACGAUGACACCGUCACAAAAGACUAUGCAAAAGAAAUAAUUAUGGAAAAUCCAUUCUUUGAUUUUUCUAAAUCUAUUAAAUUAUGUGACUUUGUAAUAAAAAAAAAUUUAGUUGGAGAAAAUCAAGUCCUUUACAAUCAGCUGCUUAGAAACUUUGUCGCGAAUAUUGAAGACUAUGAAGACAAUGAAGACGAUGAAUACAUUGAAUACAUUGAUAUUAUGAAGACGAUGAAUACAUUGAAUACAUUGAAUAUUAUGAAGACGAUAAAGAUGAUUAGAAUGAUAC